rnacentral:rRNA from 1 species
AUGAGGCUCUUGUGUUGGAACUGUAGCGGUAUGGGGACGGACAUGACAGUGGGCGAGCUAAAAUGUCUCGUUAGUAAAUAUCAUCCCUCCCUCCUCUUCCUAUCCGAGACGAAGAUGAGGGAUUCAAGAGCUCGAAAUUUCAUGUGGUCUCUGGGAUAUUCAGGUGCUUUUGCAGUUAGUUGUGAGGGGUUGAGUGGCGGGCUUGCUCUCUUUUGGUCAUCAACUAUAUCGGUAUCAUUGAGAUCAUAUUCGAAGCAAUUGAUCGAUAUUAUAGCCAAGGCAGAAGAUGGUGAUAGUUGGCGAACAACCCUGGUAUAUGAUGAACCAAGGAAGGAAUUGAGGCACAUCUUUUGGGACAAACUUUGCUUCCUGAAGGCUCAGUGGAAGGGACCGUGGAUAUGCGCUGGAGACUUCAACGAAGCUUUCCAUGGUGAUGAACACAUGGGCUUUCGAAAAAGAGACGAACACCAAAUAGCCUAG